AACGAACGCUGGCGGCAGGCUUAACACAUGCAAGUCGAGCGCCCCGCAAGGGGAGCGGCAGACGGGUGAGUAACGCGUGGGAAUCUACCCAUCUCUACGGAAUAACGCAUGGAAACGUGUGCUAAUACCGUAUACGUCCUUCGGGAGAAAGAUUUAUCGGAGAUGGAUGAGCCCGCGUUGGAUUAGCUAGUUGGUGGGGUAAAGGCCUACCAAGGCGACGAUCCAUAGCUGGUCUGAGAGGAUGAUCAGCCACACUGGGACUGGGACACGGCCCAGACUCCUACGGGGGGCAGCAGUGGGGAAUAUUGGACAAUGGGCGCAAGCCUGAUCCAGCCAUGCCGCGUGAGUGAUGAAGGCCCUAGGGUUGUAAAGCUCUUUCACCGGGAUGAUAAUGACAGUACCGGGAGAAUAAGCUCCGGCUAACUUCGUGCCAGCCGCCGCCGUAACAC
rnacentral:rRNA from 1 species